rfam:Ovis aries breed Texel chromosome 7, whole genome shotgun sequence.
UGGCUCAGUUGGUAAAGAAUCUGCCUGCAGUGCAGGAGACCCAGGUUCGAUCCCUGG